rnacentral:tRNA from 1 species
UGCGGGGUGGAGCAGCGGUAGCUCGUUGGGCUCAUAACCCAAAGGUCAAAGGUUCGAAUCCUUUCCCCGCAA